rnacentral:rRNA from 1 species
GACGAACGCUGGCGGCGUGCCUAAUACAUGCAAGUCGAACGAGAGCGCCCGGUGCUUGCACUGGUCAAUCUAGUGGCGAACGGGUGAGUAACACGUGGGUAACCUGCCCAUCAGAGGGGGAUAACAUUCGGAAACGGAUGCUAAAACCGCAUAGGUCUUCGAACCGCAUGGUUUGAAGAGGAAAAGAGGCGCAAGCUUCUGCUGAUGGAUGGACCCGCGGUGCAUUAGCUAGUUGGUGAGGUAACGGCUCACCAAGGCCGUGAUGCAUAGCCGACCUGAGAGGGUGAUCGGCCACAUUGGGACUGAGACACGGCCCAAACUCCUACGGGAGGCAGCAGUAGGGAAUCUUCCGCAAAGGACGCAAGUCUGACGGAGCAACGCCGCGUGAGUGAAGAAGGUUUUCGGAUCGUAAAACUCUGUUGUUAGAGAAGAAUAAGUGCUAGAGUAACUGUUAGCGCCUUGACGGUAUCUAACCAGAAAGCCACGGCUAACUACGUG